rnacentral:lncRNA from 1 species
GCUUGUAAAGGGGCCUGUACAGACUGUUGCAAGACUCUUUCGCCAAUCCUACUGGUCCGCUGUGGUUAUUGCAGUUAUGGCUUCAUGCUUACUUCCCCUCGGUCAAUUGUUUACAAAUAGAAUAAGGAAGAAGUAUCGAAUGCUGCUAUUGAAUACGCUGUUGUGAUUCUUUCCCUCAGAGAUAGUCAAAUCCCUUUUUUUUUCAAAAAGAGUAAUCUUGAUUGGAUUCUUCCAUGGGGUAUGGAGGUUGCAUAGCGGGACUCCCAACUGAUUGAAUAGGUGAUUUCCGAUCUAAAAUGGUCGAGGAGUAGGCCUUGGCAACAGCAACCUUUUCUCCUGUCUUUCUUUCCGUUUUUGUCUUCCACAUGCUUACUCGAUGGGAUCCUCUUCCCUUCUCUUUUCUAAAAAAGAUGCCUGAUUGGUCCGCAAUCAGUUACUGAUGCUUUGUUGAAUGAAUAAGAAGCUUUUUUCAAGAUUAUUUGUUCCUUCCGGCUCACUCCUCACUGAAACCAGAAGGCACACUACCGGGAAAGUAAGAUAGCUUCUCCUCUGAUUAUAAAUCA